UGUAUUUAUUCUUGUUUAUCUCAGGUUAAAGAGUUUAAUUUGAAAAAUAAUUUAUUAUUUAAGUAAUUUUUAGUAAAAUAAUAAAAUAACUAUAGUUCAUUAGUACAGUGAUGGAAAUGUAAAUUAAUGCAAGUAAAGAAUGUUUAUAUUACUAUACCUUGUGUAUUAGGGAAACUCUAUAUAAAUUAAUGAUUUUAAAUGUCUCGAAAUAAAAACAGCUAAAUUUAUACUAUUGUGCUUGUCGAAUAAAGCUUUCAAAUAUAAAUUUAAAGGUGAAAUGUUAUUAGAGUUUUAUUAUAUCUGGUUUUUUUAGAAUAAAAUUUAAUUUUGAUUUUAAAUAUAAUAGAUUUAAAUUUUAACUGUAGGAGGGAGUAGCUUCUUACAGAUCUUUUUUAAUAGUUACAUAAAAUAAAUUUUUUGAGACUAGGCUUAAAAGUAGCCAUGUUAAAAAAGUGUUAUUACUUAUUAAUAAUAAAUUUUUAUUUAAGAUAACUUUAAACAAGUACAAAACUUUUUUGUAAAAUAAAAUUAUAAAAGUGAUAAUGAAUUUAUUAGUAUAAUUAAUGUAAGCUAACUAAAAUAUAAUAACUAAGACGUUAAAAUAUUUAGUGUAAAAUAUAAAGGAACUCGGCAAAUAAUUUUUCUUGCCUGUUUAUCAAAAACAUGUCUAUUUGAAGAUAUAAAAAGUCUAAUCUGCCCACUGAAAUUAAUAUUAAAGGGCCGCAGUAUAUUGACUGUGCAAAGGUAGCAUAAUCGUUUGGUUUUUAA
rnacentral:rRNA from 1 species